UUGACGGGGGCCCGCACAAGCGGUGGAGCAUGUGGUUUAAUUCGAAGCAACGCGAAGAACCUUACCAGGUCUUGACAUCCCCUGACAACCCGAGAGAUCGGGCGUUCCCCUUCGGGGGACAGGGUGACAGGUGGGUGCAUGGUUUGUCGUCAGCUCGUGUCGUGAGAUGUUGGGUUAAGUCCCGCAACGAGCGCAACCCUCGACCUUAGUUGCCAGCAUUCAGUUGGGCACUCUAAGGUGACUGCCGGCUAAAAGUCGGAGGAAGGUGGGGAUGACGUCAAAUCAUCAUGCCCCUUAUGACCUGGGCUACACACGUGCUACAAUGGGCGGUACAAAGGGUCGCGAACCCGCGAGGGGGAGCCAAUCCCAAAAAGCCGCUCUCAGUUCGGAUUGCAGGCUGCAACUCGCCUGCAUGAAGCCGGAAUCGCUAGUAAUCGCGGGUCAGCAUGCCGCGGUGAAUACGUUCCCGGGCCUU
rnacentral:rRNA from 1 species